rnacentral:lncRNA from 1 species
UUUACCUCUUGGCUAUUUUGAGUGUCUCGUACUAGUGAAACAGGAAAGAGAAAGGGGUUAUGGUAAUAGCUGUGGUGAUUGAUUCCAAGCACCAAGUGGAAAUUGGCUUGCUGCCUGCUACACAAUGGGAACAGAGAAUGCUAUGCCUGGAACUCAGAGGAUUUACUGGAUGGUUUCAAAUAUCUAGCUCCCAGUUAUCUCCAGUUUGGAUAGAGGGCUUUCUUCAAAUAUUUGGUAAUCAAUGCUUAUGCACUCUUGUUUAAGAAGGCACCAAGAAAUUGAGCAGAAGCUCAGAAGGCUUAACAGGGCGCACAGCUUUAAUCCCAAACUCCACGGGGCAAAGAAAGACAUAUGUUGUCAUAGUAAGAAGGAACUUAGUUGCCAAGUGCCAACUGGGACACAGCAAAGAAAGAAAACACAAUUGAAAGGAAGAUAGAGAAGGAAACAAAAAAGACAACCUAAUCGCACAAGAAGGGACUCUCUCUGGAAUUUCCUUAUCUGAGAAGCCUUUCCAAAAGAAAUGCAAUUGUCUUAAGAAUCUCAUCAAAUAACCAGGAAGGAUCAAUUACCUGAGAAGAGAAGACACUAGGAGUUAUUACCACAUCCAUAUCGACUUUUCACCUGUUCUUCUGAGGGCGAGUCCAAUAAAUUACCUGGAGGUAAUUAUCUGCGGAAUAAGGCAAGUUUUGUUUCUGUGCACUUCUGCACCUCAGCUUCCCAAAGAUAAUCAUUUAUUUGCUACUAGCCCUAUCCAUAUCCCAGUUUCCCUUUUCC